AUGAACGCUGGCGGCGUUCCUAAUACAUGCAAGUCGCGCGAACAGACGAGGAGCUUGCUCCUCUGACGUUAGCGGCGGACGGGUGAGUAACACGUGGAUAACCUACCUAUAAGACUGGGAUAACUUCGGGAAACCGGAGCUAAUACCGGAUAAUAUAUUGAACCGCAUGGUUCAAUAGUGAAAGACGGUUUUGCUGUCACUUAUAGAUGGAUCCGCGCCGCAUUAGCUAGUUGGUAAGGUAACGGCUUACCAAGGCAACGAUGCGUAGCCGACCUGAGAGGGUGAUCGGCCAAACUGGAACUGAGACACGGUCCAGACUCCUACGGGAGGCAGCAGUAGGGAAUCUUCCGCAAUGGGCGAAAGCCUGACGGAGCAACGCCGCGUGAGUGAUGAAGGUCUUCGGAUCGUAAAACUCUGUUAUUAGGGAAGAACAAAUGUGUAAGUAACUAUGCACGUCUUGACGGUACCUAAUCAGAAAGCCACGGCUAACUACGUG
rnacentral:rRNA from 1 species